rnacentral:rRNA from 1 species
UACGGAGGGUGCAAGCGUUAUCCGGAUUCACUGGGUUUAAAGGGUGCGUAGGCGGCUUAUUAAGUCAGUGGUGAAAGCUCGCAGCUUAACUGUGAAACUGCCAUUGAAACUGAUAAGCUUGAAUGUGGUUGAAGUGGGCGGAAUACAACAUGUAGCGGUGAAAUGCUUAGAUAUGUUGUAGAACACCGAUUGCGAAGGCAGCUCACUAAACCAAUAUUGACGCUGAGGCACGAAAGCGUGGGUAGCGAACAGG